rnacentral:rRNA from 1 species
AUGUUAACGCCAUUGCGCGUGUUGCUGCGGUGCCGUCGGCCGCCGAUCCGCGCCGCCGCCACGUUCUUUACCAGCUCGGGAAGCGCACCCCUCGCGCCUCCUCCUGCGCCUGUGGAGACCGCUGAUGAGUCGGAGCAGGAGGGGUCGCUGGCGCAACGGGUGGAGCGGGCGGCGUCGGCGUGCGCGGCCAUUCGGGGGUGGAUGGCCGCCGGCCGCGCUGUGCAUCGCGGCCACAUCUUCCACGCCAUCAACCGCCUCCGACGCCGCCGCCUCCAUCGCACCGGACUCCAGGUCAUGGAAUGGGUGAUCAGAGAGAGACCCUACAAGCUGAGUGAGCUUGAUUACUCCUAUCUCCUAGAGUUCACAGCUAAAGUUCAUGGCAUUUCUGAAGCCGAGAGCCUCUUCCUCCGUAUACCUCAAGAAUUCCGGAAUGAGCUGCUCUACAAUAACCUUGUAAUGGCUUGUUUGGAGCAGGGCUUGAUUAAGCUUUCAUAUGGUUACAUGAGGAAGAUGAGGGAACUGUCCCUGCCAAUUUCGCCGUAUGUAUACAACCGCUUGAUCAUCCUCCAUUCUUCUGAGGGGCGUAGGAAGACUAUCUCCAAAAUCCUCGCUCAGAUGAAAGCCAGUAGAGUGACCCCCCACACCUCAACCUACAACAUCUUGCUGAAAAUACAGGCCAAUGAGCACAAUAUUGAUGGGGUGGCGAGGGUGUUCAGUGAUAUGAAAAGAGCAAAGAUUGAGCCAAAUGAGAUCACUUAUGGCAUUCUAGCAAUUUCACAUGCUGUAGCAAGGCUAUAUACUGUUUCCCAGACAUACAUAGAAGCCAUCAAGAAUUCUAUGACAGGUACUAACUGGUCUACACAGGAAAUUCUUCUUAUCUUGUAUGGGUACCUUGGAAAGGAACAUGAGCUAAAGAUGACGUGGAAGCUCAUGCAAUGCCUUCCUCAUAUUCGAUCCAAAAGCUUUACACUAGCAAUUGAAGCAUUUGGAAAGGUUAGCUGUGUUGAGCAGGCAGAAGAGAUUUGGCGAGAGAUCAAAUCAACAAGGAAGCUAAAGCUUACAGAACAGUUCAAUUCCAUGUUAUCAGUUUACUGCAGGCAUGGCCUUGUGGAUAAAGCAGCGGCCGUGUUCAAAGAAAUGAGAGCAAGUGGUUGUCAACCAAAUGCUAUUACGUAUCGUCACUUGGCAUUGGGUUGCUUGAAAGCAGGUCUUGUGAAACAAGCUGUGAACACAAUGGAUAUGGGAAAAAAGGAAGUUGUCACAAGGAAGGUGAAAAGUUCAACACCAUGGUUGGAGACCACUCAUUUAUUGCUUGAAAAUUUUGCAGAGAUUGGUGACUUGGAAAAUGCGAAGAAAGUUUUUGCAGAACUGAAUGAAUCAAAGUACUGUAGAAAUUCCUUUGUGUAUAAUACCCUUCUAAAAGCUUAUGUUAAAGCAAAAGUUUAUGAGCCAGAUUUUGUAAAGACGAUGAUUUUGAGAGAUGCAAUGCCUGACGCCGAGACACACAGCCUUCUGAGACUGAUUGAACAGUACAAGACAUGA